CUUGUCUUAUUAUUCAGAACCAGGUUGCUGGUGACCAUGAAGACAGUGGUGCACACCUGCUUCCAAAAUCAAGUGCCUGCAGCCCACUCCUUCACCUUGGCAUUAAUCUUCACAUUCGCGGUGAAUACUCUCCCCCUCUACAGCAAUAGCCUUGGCAUUCUGCAAGAAGCACUCCACCCUUCCCGGAGAUUAACUUUCACCGAGACUCUUAUACCAGAGACAGCACUCCCAACAGGAGGAAGACUGAAAUGAAUACAGUGAUCUAAAUCCUCUAUUUGCAUGUAUAAUGCCCUGUGCAGGCAUUCGUUUAUUAAAACCAGGACUAAAGGACUAAUAGGGACUUUACCAUUGUAAACUGCCGUUAUUUUACUUUAAAUAUGAAGAAAUUGAGGCUCAGAGAAGUUAAGAAGCGUGCCAAAGAUCACACGGGUGGUUAGUGACAAGAUCAGAAUGACUGACCCAGUAGCUUCUUGAUAGAAUGUGCCACCAUUUCAGCGAGUAAAACCAAAAAACCAUUUUUACUUGGUAAGAGUUUGCACAUUUUGAAGAUUAGAAAAAAACUCCUUAUGAUCCAUAUCUGCAUGAAUUAUGGAAGAAACAGGACUCAGAUACAUUUUUUUUUCAAA
rnacentral:lncRNA from 1 species